rnacentral:rRNA from 1 species
UACGGAGGGAGCUAGCGUUGUUCGGAAUUACUGGGCGUAAAGCGCACGUAGGCGGCUUUGUAAGUUAGAGGUGAAAGCCCGGGGCUCAACCCCGGAAUUGCCUUUAAGACUGCAUCGCUUGAAUCCGGGAGAGGUGAGUGGAAUUCCGAGUGUAGAGGUGAAAUUCGUAGAUAUUCGGAAGAACACCAGUGGCGAAGGCGGCUCACUGGACCGGCAUUGACGCUGAGGUGCGAAAGCGUGGGGAGCGAACGGG